rnacentral:lncRNA from 1 species
GGGGAAGCUAAAGAACGUUUAUUGCAGGAACAACACUUUUGUGCGUUGAAGUCUCUGGGCAUUAUUAGGGCUAAUACUGAAGUUAACCCUAAGGAAGAAUGUCAAGCCACUAUCUUUGAGGUUGACAAGGUCAUUGAUGAAGAGAAGAUAGAGGAAGACGAGAUAACAAAGGUAUUGAAGUCUNUGGGCAUUAUUAGGGAUAAUACUGAAGUUAACCCUAAAGAAGAAUAUCAAACCACUAUCUCUAGAAAUGAUGAGGUUGUCGAGGAGGAAAAAAUAGAAGAAGAAGAGAUAGAGAUAUAUGAGGAGAAAAUAAAAGCAGAAAAGAAAGAGGAAAUAAAAACAGAAAAAGUUGUUGCUACGGAAAGGAUAGAGGAGAUAGAAACAGAAAAGUUGAAUGAGAGUAAGAAGAAUGAUGAGAAAGGAAAAGCAGUGGUUGAAAGAAAAGAGAAAAAGGAAAAAAUUGUGAAAAUAAAGAAAGAAAAGAAAAAGAAAAAGAGAAAGCUAAGGGAAGAGAAAAUUAAGAAAAAGAGGAAGAGAGGAAAGAAGAAAAGGUCAUAUGAAAAACCCCUUCCUCAUAAAAAGAAAAAUCAUGGGAAGGAAAAUAGGUUCAAGUACUUCAUGGAUAUCUUCAAGAAAUUGGAGAUCAAAGUUCCUAUGAUGGAGACAUGGAAACAGGUGUUUGGUGUUAUCAACUUUCUGAAGAGAUUUAGCAGGAAGAAGAAAAACAAAAGAACAUCAAGCAAAGGGGAGUAUCAACAAAUAAUGAUGGGUGUUUGAACUCCACCGGGUCAAGCUAGUGACGUUAAAGAAGCGCUAUUGGGAGGCAACCGAGGUUUUAUUUCUUUCUUUUACUUUUGCAUUUUAAAUUCCUAGAAUAGGUUGAAUUUUAAUUUCAGUGUGUAUGCUUGGCCUAAAUACUUUUCUGAAGAUGUUUGACUGACUGAUGUACAUGAUGAGACUAUUUGAUGAUGAUUUGAUGUGAUUGAUAAUUGAGUUGCAUUGCAUGUUGAUAUUCUAUGAAACAGAUGUGUGAUGAAUUAUGAUUGUGAUUAUGAUGCUAAGCAGGAUGUAUGAAUGAAUCUUGUGUGAGAAAGCAUGUUGUGUGAGGUAUUGAGCUCUAGAGUUUUCAUUGUUGUAUAUAUUGUUCACUGGAAAGCAUGAAUGAUAUUGCCUUAAUCUGAAUGAUUGAUUGAAUUGCAUGUGAAUGUCAUAUGAUCAAGGCCAUUUUUGAAGACUUUUCUCU